AUUGAACGCUGGCGGCGUGCCUAACACAUGCAAGUCGAGCGGUAACAGGUGUAGCAAUACAUGCUGACGAGCGGCGAACGGGUGAGUAAUGCUUUGGAAUCUUCCCAGUAGUGGGGAAUAACCAGUCGAAAGAUUGGCUAAUACCGCAUACGUCUGUAAAGGGAAAGCGGGGGACGCGUAAGAACCUCGCGCUAUUGGAUGAGCCAAAGUCGGAUUAGCUAGUUGGUGGGGUAAUGGCCUACCAAGGCGACAAUCCGUAGCUGGUCUGAGAGGACGACCAGCCACACCGGAACUGAGACACGGUCCGGACUCCUACGGGAGGCAGCAGUGGGGAAUAUUGGACAAUGGGGGAAACCCUGAUCCAGCGACGCCGCGUGUGUGAAGAAGGCCUGCGGGUUGUAAAGCACUUUUAGUGGGGACAAAAAGCUACGGAUUAAUACUCUGUGGUCUUGAUUUAACCCAAAGAAAAAGCACCGGCUAACUCUGUGCCAGCAGCCGCGGUAAUACAGAGGGUGCGAGCGUUAAUCGGAAUUACUGGGCGUAAAGCGCGCGUAGACGGUUUUGUAAGUCAGAUGUGAAAUCCCUGGGCUCAACCUGGGAACUGCAUUUGAUACUGCA
rnacentral:rRNA from 1 species